UACGUAGGGGGCUAGCGUUGUCCGGAAUCAUUGGGCGUAAAGAGCGUGUAGGCGGUCCGGUAAGUCCGCUGUGAAAGUCAAAGGCUCAACCUUUGAAAGCCGGUGGAUACUGUGGGACUAGAGUACGGAAGAGGCGAGUGGAAUUCCUGGUGUAGCGGUGGAAUGCGCAGAUAUCAGGAGGAACACCAAUAGCGAAGGCAGCUCGCUGGGACGUUACUGACACUGAGGCGCGAAAGCGUGGGGAGCGAACAGG
rnacentral:rRNA from 1 species